rnacentral:rRNA from 1 species
CGCAACCCUUAUUGUUAGUUGCCAUCAUUUAGUUGGGCACUCUAGCGAGACUGCCGGUGACAAACCGGAGGAAGGUGGGGAUGACGUCAAAUCAUCAUGCCCCUUAUGACCUGGGCUACACACGUGCUACAAUGGGAAGUACAACGAGUUGCGAAGUCGCGAGGCUAAGCUAAUCUCUUAAAGCUUCUCUCAGUUCGGAUUGUAGGCUGCAACUCGCCUACAUGAAGCCGGAAUCGCUAGUAAUCGCGGAUCAGCACGCCGCGGUGAAUACGUUCCCGGGCCUUGUACACACCGCCCGUCACACCACGAGAGUUUGUAACACCCGAAGUCGGUGAGGUAACCUUUUUGGAGCCAGCCGCCUAAGGUGGGAUAGAUGAUUGGGGUGAAGUCGUAACAAGGUAGCCGUAUCGGAAGGUG